rnacentral:rRNA from 1 species
GACGAACGCUGGCGGCGUGCCUAAUACAUGCAAGUAGAACGCACAGUUUAUACCGUAGCUUGCUACACCAUAGACUGUGAGUUGCGAACGGGUGAGUAACGCGUAGGUAACCUGCCUGGUAGCGGGGGAUAACUAUUGGAAACGAUAGCUAAUACCGCAUAAUAUUGAUUAUUGCUUGAUAAUUGAUUGAAAGAUGCUAUUGCAUCACUACCAGAUGGACCUGCGUUGUAUUAGCUAGUAGGUGAGGUAACGGCUCACCUAGGCGACGAUACAUAGCCGACCUGAGAGGGUGAUCGGCCACACUGGGACUGAGACACGGCCCAGACUCCUACGGGAGGCAGCAGUAGGGAAUCUUCGGCAAUGGACGAAAGUCUGACCGAGCAACGCCGCGUGAGUGAAGAAGGUUUUCGGAUCGUAAAGCUCUGUUGUAAGAGAAGAACGGGUGUGAGAGUGGAAAGUUCACACUGUGACGGUAUCUUACCAGAAAGGGACGGCUAACUACGUG